rnacentral:lncRNA from 1 species
ACCAGGAGGAAGGAAGUGGUCCUCUUCUAAAGGAAGGAGCAGCCUUCUCCGGAGUUCCUGGGGGCUUUUGCUUAGGCUUUAAUGGCCAGAACUAACACAAGACUACGGCUAGUUAGUUGUAAGGGAAGCUGGGAAGGCAAGCCUUUCGGUUUUCCAGCCUGUCCAGUGGAAGCAGGUGAUGCAGAGGAGGAUUACAAGUGACUGCAGGAGCAGCCAAACAUAUUUGGCAACAGUGGGCCCUUUCCCUGGCACGUGGCUCUCAGCACAGUAAAAGAGCAGCUGUCCCUCUAGAAGCCCUUCAGUCCUCUGUGGCUGCCAGUGCUACUUCACUCAUUUGUGUCACCUGCCUGGCCCCUGCGGACGUGUGAGUGGACCUCCCCUUCACCGGGUGGUGCACCGGCUGGCUUCCCUGGGUCCUGCGAGGCUGUGGGGUGCCAGAGCCCCUGAGGAGCGGGCAGGUCAGGGCUGUGGGACUCAUUCUGUUUCUGAGGCAGGUCACUCACAUGUCUUGCCUCUCUCCCUGCCUGUGUGCAUCAGUGCCCUCCUUGCCUCCCUGUUGGUCCAGUUGGCUUUCGGAAGAACCAGAAGAGACUAAAGGAACCCCAGGAGGGUAAAUGAACAAACCCAGAAUCUCCCUCCUUGCCUGGUAUUCCCAUCUGGUCAAGCACCCCACCUGCAAAGGGGGUCUCAUUCCUUCUCCUUUUCUAGACCUCAGGAAGGAAAUGAUGGACUUCAGGAAGAUGCUGAAAAAGAGGUCCCCACCUCCAGCUCCUGAAAAAAAGAUAGAGUCAGAGCAGGUGUGGCAGCUGCUGAUGAAUGCAGACCGGAAGGACUACGAGAAGAUCUGCUUGAAGUAUGGAAUUGUGGACUUCCGGGGGAUGCUGCGUAAGCUGCAGGAGAUGAAGAAGGAGCAGGAGGACGAGAUGGCAAAGGUGCCCUCCUCACCCUGCCCCGGGCCUACACCUGGCAUACAGGCACCUGCAGGGGCUCCAGGAGUUGGGCCUGGGGGAAACUCAACAUGGCUGGGGGUCACUAGCCCCUAGUGAGGUGUCCUACCAGGGGCCCAGUCUUCCAAGUUGGCAUCUUGGCUUUGAAACCUGGUUCUGAUAUAGAGUCUGAGGCUUUGGAAAAGUUAGGAUCUCUGUGUCUUGUUUCCCUCAUCUGUAAAAUGGGGAUUAUAGUCACACCCAACUCCAAAGGUGAAUGAGAGCACAAAUACAAGAAUGUAGUUAAAGAAAUCAGCCUAGUGCCUGACACAUUGCAAGGAAGGUCUGAUGUCAGCUGUCAUCUUCACCACCAUCCUCGUCCUCACCGGACAUGGUGCACAUAGUUUAUUUCUAAAGCUUUCCAGGAGAGAGAAUUUCACAGUUGCUAUUAGUACUUCAAUUCCAGUGUCCUCUGGACUGCAUAGGAAGUUCUUUCCUGUGUCUAACAUAACUGUAAGUCUGAUUUUUUCUUCUGGAAAUGGAAAACAGGUAGUUUUCAUUAUCUUGAAAACAGUACUUUAUCUCUUUAAGGUGAUUCCUCAAACCUUCCACCUAGGGCCUCAGCUCUGAGCUUUCUUGUCUCCUUUAACACAGGAAUUGGCACAGAGCUUUCCAUAUGUGAGCCGUUCAACUCAGGUUUAUUAGCUGGCAGGGCAGAUGAAUGGGAAUUCCUAGUAUGUUCUCGUAGUACCUGGGCACCUGGGGUCCUUUCCUGUCUGCCUUUAGACCUGAUCUGUCAUUUAGAGAAUUUCCUUCAUUGGGGACUUAAGUCUCCCUGCUUGAGAGACAGGCGAAGGCUUGCCCAGCUGGGACACUGAGCAGUGAUAGGACUGGGAUCCCUAGGGGUUUGGAGAGAGAGAGAGAGAGAGAGGGAGGGAGGGAGGCAGAGAGAGAGAGCAAGCGCUCUGAGAGAUGCCCAGAUGGGUUUGUCUGCCCUUUAGUAUGUCAGCGCCAUCUCCAACUUGAGACACAUCAGGGUCACCAAGGAGGGAGUUGCCACGUUUGACCUGGAGCUCGAUCUGAAGGACCUUGAGAGCAAGAUUCACUUGUACAAGGUGAGUCUGGGCAGGCCGUGGGGCAGGGGCUCCAGGGGAGGAUGCAGGUCCUAGG